ensembl:lncRNA
UCCGUCCAGGCUCCAUGCCAAAAAGGGAGAGGAAGUGGUGCAUGUGUUACCUUUCUAGCAAUGGGGGGAAGCCAGGUCACGAUGCUUCCCCCCAUGGGAUGAGAGGCAUGGUAAGGCAGGUGAUGCAGGGCAUGGAGCGACAGGUUUUUCAUGCCCCUUGCUGGGAGCCCAUGGAUUCGCUGCAAUGGGGACAAAUCAAUGUGUGCCGUCCGCCAGACAAUAAAAAAAAACUAUAAAGCUGAAACGUGCCGUCCUUUAUCCGGGCGAACUGCAAAUCCCUAUAAGCUGUCCUAAAAUAUUGAACGACUGAGUCUGGAGAACUUCAAAAAAGGAUGUUUAUUCAUACAAGGUUGUAAACCUGGCACAGAUCUUAAAGUUGCAGAAAAUGAAACAAAUUUCCAUAGGUUUUAGUUGCAGAAUUAUCCCUGGUUCCAGAAGGCAAAGGUGAUUAUAAAACCACUAUACCCUAAUCACGCUGUCUAUAUUAGAAGGAGAAACUCUUUCCUUCCCUAUCUUUACAGCAAAGAUUAGUUCUAGAAGCGAUGGAAUAACCCUGCUCCUCUAACUAGAUUUCCUAUUCCAGAUCAGUAUAACUCAAUACUUAUCUAAUUUGGAUAGGCUUAGAUUGGCCUGGUUUUGAGGAUGAUUUGUCCCAGUUAGCCUUGCACAGCUCCAGCACGUUGGAAGACUAUAGCCAGAAUGAAACUCUAAAAUGGAGACUAGACCCUGGUAAAAAGGGCGGUCCUAAGAUGUUGUACUCUUUGACCAAUCAUUGCAAAGAAAACUGCAGCCAGCUCUUGCAGACUUCAAGCCACCUUUCCUGGGCUUUUGCAGCCAGAGGCUGAAACAAAAUGCAAAGGAGGGAAAACAAUCAAACGACCAAUAAGUAAGGCAAACCAUCGUCCUGGGGGACGGAACACUCCCCGCUUAAAUUCCCAGGAUGUGGGAAUUUACCACUCAAAAACAUACAAACACCUUUGCACAUAUGACAAUACAAACACUAGAACUUUAAACAUCUCCAAUAAGCAACACGAGGUCACUAAUUGGUCUGUCCAAAAUGGACACUUUGUCUCUGUUGCAAGUCUUUAAUUGAACUUUCCUGACCUUACCAUCCGGGCAAGGAAAGGUCUUUAAUACAAUGCCCAUGGGCCACGCAUGGCGGGGCAAGUCUUUGUCCUUUAACAACACAACGUUGUUAACCUCAAUGUUGUCCUGUGGGCUUUGCCAGAUUCUUCUAGCUUGAAGCUGGCUUAAGUACUCAGCUUUCCACCUUUUCCAAAAGUGGUUGGCCAAGGACUGCACCUGUUUCCACAGGGCACGGUGAGUUCCGUCCGGAACUGGCAACAUGAUGUCCUUCCAUCCUGGCACCUUUUGUGUCAAAAUAAGUGCAGGAGUCAGUGGUUGUAAGUUCUCAGGGUCACUGGUAAGGGGAACCAGCGGCCGGUUGUUGAUAAUUGCGGUAACUUCCGCCAUAAGUGUCACCAAAACAUCAUGCGUCAAUGACCUAUGACUCAAAAGCAUGGCAUUAAGGAUUUUGCGACUAAUACCAAUCAUCCUCUCCCAAACACCACCCAUGUGGGAGGCGUGAGGAACAUUGAAAGUCCACAUAAUUUGUUCAGUAUUCGUAAAGUUCUGAACCUUUGGGUCUCUCCCAAACCUAGACACACAAUUGAGUUCUUUGGUCGCACCUACAAAAUUGGUGCCACAGUCCGACCGAAUUGACUUAAUUGGCCCUCUGAGGGCUAUGAACCUUUUUAAUGCGUUUAAAAAUGAUGAAGUGUCCAUCCCUUCUAUGACUUCUAUAUGGACAGCUCGUAUUACUAAACAAGUAAACAAAACUGCCCACCUCUUGUUAUUUACAACACCACCCCUGGUUUUCCUAGUGACAACCUCCCAAGGACCAAACACAUCGAUUCCCACAUGGGAAAAGGGUGGGUCUGUCAAAGUCCUAUCCUGAGGUAGUUCUGCCAUACUGACUUUGACAGUUUCGCCUAAGGCGCCUGCAUUUAACACAUUUGAAAAUACAACUGUUGACCAACCUUUUGGCAUUAACUACCCACAGACCUUCAUUUCUAAGGGCUGCCUCAGUUAGAGUUCUACCCUGAUGAUGGAUCCUUUCAUGGUGAUGCCGAACGAGCAGCAAUGCAGUGUGACUAUUAGGGGGUAUGAUGAUGGGGUUUUUUAUGCACGCCUUGAGUUUAGCUUUGGCUAACCUUCCUCCAACUCUCAAAAUACCCUCCUUGUCUAGAAAUGGGUUUAACUCAU